rnacentral:rRNA from 1 species
GGGGAAUUUUCCGCAAUGGGCGAAAGCCUGACGGAGCAAUCUCGCGUGAGGGAUGACUGCCUAUGGGUUGUAAACCUCUUUUUUCAGGGAGGAAUCAAUGACGUGUACCUGAAGAAUAAGCAUCGGCUAACUC